rnacentral:rRNA from 1 species
GACGAACGCUGGCGGCGUGCCUAAUGCAUGCAAGUCGCACGCAGAGUGCUUGCACUCUGAGUGGCGCACGGCUGAGGACCACGUGGGAACAUGCCUCUGAGUGGGGGAUAACAGCGCGAAAGCGCUGCUAAUCCCGCAUACGAUCACAAGAUGAAAGCAGCGAUGCGCUCGGAGAGUGGCCCGCGGCCCAUCAGGGCGUCGGUGGGGUAACGGCCUACCGAGCCGAUGACGGGUAGCUGGUCUGUGAGGACAGACAGCCAGACUGGGACUGAGACACGGCCCAGACUCCUACGGGAGGCAGCAGCAAGGAAUUUUCGUCAAUGGGGGCAACCCUGAACGAGCAACGCCGCGUGCAGGAUGACGGCCUUCGGGUUGUAAACUGCUUUUGCGGGGGACGAUGAUGACGGUACCCCGCGAAUAAGGCUCGGCUAACUCUGUGCCAGCAGCCGCCGUAAAAC